rnacentral:tRNA from 1 species
GGUGCAGUGGGUCGGCGGGCACGCCCUGACGUUACCCGCUGCACACGGGGGAAGUCCCGCCCCCGGGACGGUUCGAUGCCGAUCCGCACUCC